CUGAAUCAACUUUAGUCAACUCAGGACUUCAUUUGAAGAUUGAAUCACUUUCCUACUAAAUUCAUGUGUUCUCUAGGAACUGCUUGGCUUCCCAGCAAUGAUUCCACAGAACGUGUAGAAGUAGGAGCAAGUUCCACGAGGUGUACUUCAUGGCCUCCUUGCUGCCUGGCACCACCCCAAAGUUGCUGAUAUGGGACAGAAAUGACCUCUAUGGAAGGUUGGCCUUGCCUACACACACAUCUUCCCUCCCAUAAUAUCAACUAGUGAACCAGUGUGCAGCACCAGGAGUCAGCCUGGCUGGACUGAAAGCCCACCUCUGCCAUUUAGAGGCUGUGUGACUUCGAGCAAGUUACAUAAACACUGUCUUAGUUUCCUCAUCUGUAAAAUCAUGGGGAAGGUAAUAAUAAAUGUAAAAGUUGUCACAUAAUUAAGUAACACGUGGUAAGCUUUAGAAGACUGUGACUAAUGCAUAAGCCCUCAAAAUAUGUCUGUGAUUAAUAUGUGCAGGCUUUACAGAAUAUUCCCUCUAAAAGUUGCAAUAUCCUACACAUUGGUAGCAUGAAGAAGCUUAUAUUCUCUUAGUAAAUUCCAGAUGCCGUUUUCCAAAAUAUACAAGAAUCUUGGUAAAAUCCGAAUGUCAUUUUCAAGUAAAAUAUUUGUUAC
rnacentral:lncRNA from 10 species